UCUAAUAUGGCAGAUUAGUGCAAUGAAUUUAAGAUUCAUAUAUAAAGAGUUAUCUUUUAUUAGGA
rnacentral:tRNA from 1 species